rnacentral:rRNA from 1 species
CGGGUGAGUAACGCGUGAGUAACCUGCCUCUAAGAGGGGAAUAACAUUCUGAAAAGAAUGCUAAUCCCGCAUAAUAUAUAUUUAUCGCAUGGUAGAUAUAUCAAAGAUUUAUCGCUUAGAGAUGAACUCGCGUCCGAUUAGUUAGUUGGUGAGGUAACGGCUCACCAAGACCGCGAUCGGUAGCCGGACUGAGAGGUUGAACGGCCACAUUGGGACUGAGACACGGCCCAGACUCCUACGGGAGGCAGCAGUGGGGGAUAUUGCGCAAUGGGGGAAACCCUGACGCAGCAACGCCGCGUGAAGGAUGAAGGUCUUCGGAUUGUAAACUUCUUUUAUUAAGGACGAAGAAAGUGACGGUACUUAAUGAAUAAGCUCCGGCUAACUACGUGCCAGCAGCCGCGGUAAUACGUAGGGAGCAAGCGUUGUCCGGAUUUACUGGGUGUAAAGGGUGCGUAGGCGGCUUUGCAAGUCAGAUGUGAAAUCUAUGGGCUCAACCCAUAGCCUGCAUUUGAAACUGCAGAGCUUGAGUGAAGUAGAGGCAGGCGGAAUUCCCCGUGUAGCGGUGAAAUGCGUAGAGAUGGGGAGGAACACCAGUGGCGAAGGCGGCCUGCUGGGCUUUAACUGACGCUGAGGCACGAAAGCGUGGGUAGCAAACAGGAUUAGAUACCCUGGUAGUCCACGCUGUAAACGAUGAUUACUAGGUGUGGGGGGUCUGACCCCUUCCGUGCCGGAGUUAACACAAUAAGUAAUCCACCUGGGGA